UACGGUCAUAUCAUAUUGAAACACCAGUUCUAGUACGAUCACUGAAGUUAAGCAACGUCGAGCCUGGUUAGUACCUAGAUGGGUGACCGCUUGGGAAUACCAGGUUCUGUAA